rnacentral:rRNA from 1 species
CACCUGCGGCCCGAGUGGUUAUCGGAAUCACUGGGCGUAAAGCGCACGUAGGCGGCUUGUUAAGUCACAUGUGAAAGCCCUCGGCUCAACCGGGGAACUGCGUGUGAUACUGUCUUGCUUGAGUCCUGGAGAGGGUGGCGGAAUUCCCGGUGUAGGAGUGAAAUCCGUAGAUAUCGGGAGGAACACCAGUGGCGAAGGCGGCCACCUGGACAGGUACUGACGCUGAGGUGCGAAAGUGUGGGGAGCAAACAGG